rnacentral:rRNA from 1 species
GACGGGGGCUGCAAGCGCUAUCCGGAAUCACUGGGCGUAAAGCGUCUGUAGGUGGUGAUGCAAGUCACUGGUGCAAAACUCUGGCUCAACCGGAGGAAAGCCAGUGAAACUGCAUGACUAGAGUGUGGGAGAGGUAGAAGGAAUUCCAUGAGUAGCGGUGAAAUGCGUAGAUACAGGGAAGAACACCGGAGGCGAAAGCGUUCUACUGGAACACAACUGACACUGAGAGACGAAAGCUAGGGGAGCGAAUGGG